rnacentral:rRNA from 1 species
UGGGGGAAUUUUUGGACAAUGGGCGAAAGCCUGAUCCAGCAAUGCCGCGUGUGUGAAGAAGGCCUUCGGGUUGUAAAGCACUUUUGUCCGGAAAGAAAUCCUUGGCUCUAAUACAGUCGGGGGAUGACGGUACCGGAAGAAUAAGCACCGGCUAACUACGUGCCAGCAGCCGCGGUAAUACGUGGGGUGCAAGCGUUAAUCGGAAUUACUGGGCGUAAAGCGUGCGCAGGCGGUUUGCUAAGACCGAUGUGAAAUCCCCGGGCUCAACCUGGGAACUGCAUUGGUGACUGGCAGGCUAGAGUAUGGCAGAGGGGGGUAGAAUUCCACGUGUAGCAGUGAAAUGCGUAGAGAUGUGGAGGAAUACCGAUGGCGAAGGCAGCCCCCUGGGCCAAUACUGACGCUCAUGCACGAAAGCGUGGGGAGCAAACAGGAUUAGAUACCCUGGUAGUCCACGCCCUAAACGAUGUCAACUAGUUGUUGGGGAUUCAUUUCCUUAGUAACGUAGCUAACGCGUGAAGUUGACCGCCUGGGGAGUACGGUCGCAAGAUUAAAACUCAAAGGAAUUGACGGGGUCAUAGCUGUUUCCU